rnacentral:rRNA from 1 species
UACAGGGGGUGCAAGCGUUGUUCGGAAUUACUGGGCGUAAAGCGCGCGCAGGCGGCCUUUUAAGUCUGACGGUGAAAUGCCGGGGCUCAACCCCGUGCCCGCCGCGGAUACUGGGAGGCUGGAGACAUGUAGAGGCAAGCGGAAUUCCGGGUGUAGCGGUGGAAUGCGUAGAGAUCCGGAAGAACACCGGAGGCGAAGGCGGCUUGCUGGGCAUUGUCUGACGCUGAGGCGCGAAAGCGUGGGGAGCGAACAGG